rnacentral:rRNA from 1 species
UAAGGAGGAUGCGAGCGUUAUCCGGAUUUAUUGGGUUUAAAGGGUGCGUAGGCGGAAUGUCAAGUCAGCGGUAAAAAUUCGGGGCUCAACCCCGUCGUGCCGUUGAAACUGGCUGUCUUGAGAUGUCGAGAGGUAUGCGGAAUGCGCAGUGUAGCGGUGAAAUGCUUAGAUAUUGCGCAGAACUCCGAUUGCGAAGGCAGCUCACUGGACUGCAACUGACACUGAGGCUCGAAAGUGUGGGUAUCAAACAGG